rnacentral:rRNA from 1 species
UAGGGAAUCUUCCACAAUGGGCGCAAGCCUGAUGGAGCAACGCCGCGUGUGUGAUGAAGGGUUUCGGCUCGUAAAACUCUGUUGUAAGAGAAGAACGUGUGUGAGAGUGGAAAGUUCACACAGUGACGGUAACUUACCAGAAAGGGACGGCUAACUACGUGCCAA